UACAGAGGUGGCACGCGUUGUUCGGCAUUACUGGGCGUAACGGGCGCGUAGGCGGCCUUCUAAGUCAGACGUGAAAUCCCCAGGCUUAACUUGGGAACUGCGUCUGAUACUGGGAGGCUUGAGUGCGGGAGAGGGAUGUGGAAUUCCAGGUGUAGCGGUGAAAUGCGUAGAUAUCUGGAGGAACACCGGUGGCGAAGGCGGCAUCCUGGACCGACACUGACGCUGAGGCGCGAAAGCUAGGGGAGCAAACGGG
rnacentral:rRNA from 1 species